UCUAUAAUGAAUUCAUUAACAGCAAUUGGCAGUUUGCAGUAACUAACAAUCGUUUGACAUUUGUCUCAUUUCAUAUUGUUUUCUUGUAAUUUUGCCGGAGCUGGGAAAACGUAACUCCAGCUCCGGCAUACAAAAUUCUGCUCCGGCGUCGGAAAAACCGCCGGAGCUCCGGCAGAACUCCGGCUCUGGCAACUCCGGCGCACAGCACUA